rnacentral:rRNA from 1 species
AUACGGAGGGGGCAAGCGUUGUUCGGAAUUACUGGGCGUAAAGCGUACGUAGGCGGAUCGUUAAGUUAGAGGUGAAAUCCCAGGGCUCAACCCUGGAACUGCCUUUAAUACUGGCGAUCUAGAGAUCGAGAGAGGUGAGUGGGAUUUCCAGUGUAGAGGUGAAAUUCGUAGAUAUUUGAAAGAACACCAGUGGCGAAGGCGGCUAACUGGCUCGAUACUGACGCUGAGGUACGAAAGCGUGGGGAGCAAACAGGAUUAGAAACCCUAGUAGUCC